GGUACAUUCAUCAUGACUCGUUGGGAUAGUUAAUACGUAGCCAAACAUAUGGAGAGAAUCAUAAUCAUAACUAUCAAACUUUAUCUACAACCAUUUAGGGUGGGCAUGACAAAUGGAAAGCAUCAGAAAAUAAAACUCAUGUCUUCUUCAUAUUGGUCCCAGAAAAUCUUUUCUGAAAUACAUUUCAAGAUUGAUCUUGAAAUAUGUGGAUCGACUUGCCCUAUCAACUGGCAUCAAUCUUCAGUGCAAACAAAGAAAAAAGUUGGUCUUCAAUAAGCAGACAUUAAUGCAUAGUUGGUUCUCUUAUGAUACUAUCCCAAGUUG
rnacentral:lncRNA from 1 species